GGCUGAUUACUAGUUGAACUUUAAUUGCCCGAGUUAAUAAAUAGAUGGUAUCUAGGAUUUAAAUUCUACGAGUUCAACCUAAAUAGUAGUAGCAAUUUCGCACUGGUAUACAAUAGAGAUCGAGAGAGAGAGAGAGAUCACAUGUAAUUGAUAUAAACAUCCCCUCCGGAAGACUUCCCUUUCAGGUACGUACAUGGCAAAGAACCAGAGAUCCAAAUGAUCUGUUUCAAGUGUAGCAGAAAACUAAGAUUAGCACAUAGAUUUUCAGCACAGUUAAGUAAACACAUUCAAGUUAAAUCAUAGAAAUUCAGAAGUAUUUAUUUCUAAAGCAUCUAUAAACCGGCAAUUUCGUAGAUGAAUUUGUCGAUGGAAGUAUUGAAAAACAGUAACAUUCAUCCAUUAGAAUGGUUGGGGCAAAUUAAUUAGUCAAAUAUAUACAUAAAAUAAUACUAAAAGAUCAGAUUAGUGCACAGAUCUCCUUUCUGACAAAAGCUGCACGGGAAAAGAGAAGGCUGUAGCAGUAGUCAAUAUAUAAUUAUGGGUGAUGAUGAGCCCACUUUUCAUUAUCUUUCCUUUUAUAGAAGUAUGGAUGGGGGAAUUUGCCCAAGGAAUUUCCCCAACAAGCAAAGUAAACCUAAAAUUGAACAACUGUAGAUAAAGUAAUAUAAGGAGAAAGAGAAGGAAGAAUGGGUCUGAGGUGAUGACCGAAGCAUAGAGAGCACAAAUGAAUUGAGAUGCUUUAUUUUUUGCAGUCCUCGAUCUGUAGCUCCCAGAUUUAGCAGCAUGUCAUCAUAUGUGCUCUCUAUCUUCUGUCAACAAUGUCACCCAGUCCAAUUUCCCCCCUCUUCCUCCUCUUCACACUGUUCUGUAACCCUAUCUAUAUACAUAAUUAGUACAUUUUUGAGCGGGUAAGUGGUAAAUGCAGAAAGGGGAAAAGUGGUCGGGCAAAUUUUGGGUUGGGGAAAUUAAAGACAUUUAUUUUGUGAGGACUGCCGCCUUAUGAAGGAGUGUAGUUGUGUAGGGGGGGCCUAUUUAUAGAAACAUAAUAGGAGAGCAAAU
rnacentral:lncRNA from 1 species